GGAAUAUUGGACAAUGGGGGCAACCCUGAUCCAGCCAUGCCGCGUGUGUGAAGAAGGCCUUCGGGUUGUAAAGCACUUUUGUUGGGGAAGAAAAGCACUGGGUUAAUACCCUGGUGUCAUGACGGUACCCAAAGAAUAAGCACCGGCUAACUGCGUGCCAGCAGCCGCGGUAAUACGAAGGGUGCAAGCGUUACUCGGAAUUACUGGGCGUAAAGCGCGCGUAGGUGGUUCGUUAAGUUGGAUGUGAAAGCCCCGGGCUCAACCUGGGAACUGCAUUCAAAACUGUCGAGCUAGAGUACGGUAGAGGGUGGUGGAAUUUCCUGUGUAGCGGUGAAAUGCGUAGAUAUAGGAAGGAACACCAGUGGCGAAGGCGACCACCUGGACUGAUACUGACACUGAGGUGCGAAAGCGUGGGGAGCAAAC
rnacentral:rRNA from 1 species